GGGUUUGUAGCUCAGCUGGUUAGAGUACCUCGUUGACAUCGAGGGGGUCGGAGGUUCGAGUCCUCUCAAACCCACCA
rnacentral:tRNA from 2 species